UUUUAACAGUUAAUUAGCAUAAAUAAGUCUAAAAUACGGAUAACAUAAUCAUAAGUGCGAAAAAAAGUGAUAAAACAGGGGAAGUCAUAACGACACAGCCCAAACCGGAGUGUCACAAGUCAUGAGCUACUACGGAGUCUACUAUAAGUCUAAAAAUGUCUGGAACUUGAUACAAAGGUCUGAAGAUAACAUAAAUAAUAGAAGAUAAGGGAGAAAUGGGGCUGCGGAUAUCAACAGCUACCUCAUCACUCCUAGUCCGCCUGAUCUGGAAGGAAUCAAUGCUCAGGAGCGAACUCUGCUAUGCCUGUAUCUGCACACACUGUACAGAGAGUAAUGUGAGUACUCUGACCCAAUGAGUAAUAAUUAUAAAUAAUUAGUGAACGCUCGAAAUCACAUAAAGGCACAAGGAAAUUCUAUUUUAAAGUAGUUAAAUCAGUAAGCAGUAAGGCAAUAAAGUAUCGAAUAAUUCUCUUUAAAACCGGUAAAAUAGAUAAUUCAACAGAUGAAAUAUAGAUAAAAAUUUGCCCCUCAAGCUCAGUAUCAAUCUCUAAAAAGAGUAUCAAUCCUUCGGGCUUAGUAUAAGUCACUCAUCAUAAUAUCAGCCCCUUGGGCUCACUCUCAUAUUACAUGGGUACUCGUGUUCACUGUGAGUGUGCAAACUCCGGAAGGGGCCCCUUACGGCCCAAAUACAAGGCCUGAAAACCUUCUCAUAUCAACAUAAGGCCUGAAAGCAUUCUCACAUCACUCACAUGGCCUGAAAGCCUUAUCACAUCACGCAUAAGGCCUGAAAGCCUUCUCAUACUCACAAGGCCUGAAAGCCUUCUCACAUCACUCAACAUAUCCUCACAUAUGGCCCUCGUCCUCAAUCAUUCCGAAUAUCAUCACAAGACCCUCGGACAUUAAUAAAAUAAUAGUACUCAGCCCAAACAACAUUUGAAAUAUCAUUUAAGUCUCAAAAUCAAGUAGAAGUGACUAAGUUUGUAAAACAAUAUAAAUCAAUAGGACUGAGUUCAAAUAGUAUGUCAAAAUAGUGAGAAAAUAUUGAUAAGUUCCCGAAGGGUCCAUAGAAUUGACACGAAGCCCAAAUAUGACAUUAAAUCCAAGUCAUGAUGAUAAUAAUUAAGUCUCGAUCAAAUACGCGGUAAAAACAUCAAUCGGGUUGGACUAAGUCAUAAUCCCCAUAAGAAACGACCCAGCGAUCGUCAUUUAGCACGUUUCUCACCUUAAUAUAGCACUACGGUGUGCAAUCCGGGGUUUCAAACCCUCAGGACAUCAUUUACAAUCAUUACUUACCUCAAUUCGGUCAAAACUCUAGCUCGCUACGCCCUUGCCUGUCGAAUAGGCCUCCUCGCGCGUCGGAUCUGGCCAAAACCACAAGGAAUGCGUCACAAUAGGCUAAAGGAACAAUAUCCAAUCGAAUGUUUUCGAUAAAUAUCAAAAUUAUCAAAAUUAGCAAAACCCGAGCCCUGGGCCCACUUCUCGAAGCUCAAAAUUUUUUACAUCAAUGGUUUCCUUAUCUCGCCACAAGUCUAUACAUACCAAGAACUCCCAAAUUCGAGCUCAAACGACCCAUUAAAAUCCAGUUUGAAAUUUCAAAACUCAAGCCCUAGUUCUUCCGCUUUUUGCUAGAUUUUCAUGAAUUGCUAGGUUGAUUCUACAAUUAAAUCAUGUUUUUGGAUCAUAAAACUCACCUCAAAUCAAUCCCAGUCGAAACCCUUUCAAUUCUUGUCCAAGAGCUCUCAAGGAUAUUCAAAAAUGGUGGAAAUAAGACUUAGCUCGCGGAGGAAAUAUCAUUAAAGACUCUUCUGCCCUGGUCAACUUUACUCUAUGCGAACGCGAGGUCCUUUUCGUAUUCGUGAUGCUCAAUAAUUCCACUGCCAAAAAUUGCCCUUCACGAACGCAGUCCCCAACCCACGAACGAAAAGCUUCCUUUGGCCCCACUAUGCGAACGUGGACCUCAUGGUCGCGAACGCGAAGAAUAACACAACCAGAACCCCAGGUACUCCUACGCGAACACGAUGAUCAAGAUCUCCACCCUCCGCGAACGCGACUUCCUAAACGCAAACGCAAAGAACAUUUCACAGGGCCCCAUCUUCCUUUUUUGCGAACGCGGCCCCAGGCACGCGAACGCGAAGGCCAACACUUGACUGCAAUAACUGCUGAGUUUUCUGCGUUUUUCUCCAAGUUCAAACCUCCCGAUAGCCAUCCGAAAUCGCCGCGAGGCCCUCGGGACCUCAACCAAGAGUGCCAACCUAACCUAAAACAUCACCAAAAUCGUUCCAUUCAUCAAAACACAUCCAACAAUACCAAAAUAACCAAUUAUCAACAAAUACAAGCCUAAGUUUUUCAAAAUCUUCCGUAACCUAAUUCGAUAAAAACCCCACAAAAUCGCCUCUGAAUCACCUGAAAUUCUGCAUACACAUCCUAAAUCACCUAACAAAGCUACUGCAACUUUCAGAAUUCUAUUUCGACUCUCGGAUCAAAAUCUCAGCUAUCAACAGGAAAUCACCAAAAUACUAACUUCGCCAAUUCAAGCCUAAUUUUACAUCGGACCUUCAAUACUACUUCCGAUCACGCUCCUAAGUCAUAAAUCAUACCCAGAAGCUAACCAAAUCACCGGAAAUUACAUCCGAGCCCUCUAACUCAUAUGUCAAUAUCCAGUUGACUUUCCAAAACAAGCCUUCCUUAAAGAGACUAAGUGUCUUAUUUCCUACCAAAACCAAUCCAAAUCGACUUGAUCACCUCAAGUACCGAUAAUGAAGCAUCGAGAAGCAUAAAAUGGGGGAAACAAAGCGGUAUCUCAUGAGAUGACGGGUCAGGUCAUCUCAUCCUCCCCCACUAAAUCAAACGCUCGCCCUUGAGUGAGUCAAGAAACAUACCUGAAGCCUCAGACAUGCGAGGAUAUCUGCAAGCGGAAAAAAUUCAUACCAAGAAACUCCAAAGUCAAUAAAACAAGCACACAACAUGUCCUCCAAUAUCUGAAUAGUACGCUCGAACUGCCAUCCGUCUGAGGAUGAAAUAUUGUGCUCAACUCUACCUGAGUACCCAACUCUCGCAAAAAGUACUCCAAAAUUGAGAACCUCUAUCUGAGAUAAUAGACACUGGAACACCAUGCAACCAAACAAUCUCCCGGAUAAAGAUCCAUGCCAGCGGUUCUGAAGAAUAUGUGGUACAUACCCGGGAAUGAAGUGCACGGACUUGGUCAGCCGAUCCACAAUCACCCAAAUCAAAUCAAACUUCUUCAAGGUCCGAGAGAGACCACUCACAAAAUCCAUAGUAACUCUCUCCCACUUCCUGUCAGGAAUAAUUAUCUACUGAAGCAAGCCACUUUGAUGCUCAUAUUUCACCUGCUGAUAAUUGAGACACCUAGACACAUAUCCCACUAUAUAUAUUUGUUCUUCUCCACCGAUAGUGCUGCAUUAAAUCCCGAUACAUCUUCACAGAAACCGGAUGAGUGGAAUACCGCGAGCUGUGAGCCUCCUCUAGAAUAACCUCUCUCAGCCCAUCCAGCUCGGGCACACAGAUCCCGCCCUGCAUCCUCAAUACACCAUCAUCACCUAUAGUCACAUCUCUAGCAUCAUCAUGGUAAAAUCUAUCCUUAAGGACAAAGAAAUGUGGAUCAUCAUACUAGCGCUCUCUAAUGCGAUCAUAUAAAGAAGACCGAGAAGCCACGUAAGCCAAUACCCGACUAGGCUCCAAAAUAUCUAAUCUCACAAACCAAUUGUCCAAAGCCUGAACAUCAACUGAAAGGGGUUUUUCCCCAGCUGGAAUGUACGCCAAGCUCCCCAUACUCACUGCCUUUCGACUCAAAGCAUCGGCCACUACAUUGGCCUUUCCCUGAUGAUACAAAAUAGUAAUAUUAGAAUCCUUAAAAAACUCACGCCAUCUCCGCUGCCUCAAAUUUGGAUCCUUUUGCUUGAAUAAAUGCUGAAGACUGCGAUGAUCGGUGAAUACCUCACAAGAUACGCCAUACAAGUAGUGCCUCCAAAUCUUCAAAGUAUGAACUAUGGAAGCCAACUCUAAGUCAUGAACAGGGUAGCUCUUCUCAUGGGGCUUUAACCGACGAGAAGAAUAAGCAAUCACUCUACCCUCCUGCAUCAACACACAACCAAUCCCAAAUCUCUAAGUAUCAUAAUAAACGGUAUAACAAUCUGAAGGUGAUGGAAAAACCAAUACUGGAGCGGUGGUCAAAGCUUUCUUGAGCUUAUGAAAGCUCUCCUCGCACUUGUCCGACUACACAAAUGGAGUACCCUUCUGAGUCAACUUGGUCAAGGACGAGGCAAUAGAUGAAAAACCCUGAACAAACCGACGAUAAUAGCCUGCCAAACCAAGGAAGCUACAAAUGUUUGUGGCUGAGGACGGUCUAGGCCAAAUCUGCACCGCCUUUAUCUUCUUCAGAUCGACUUUAAUACCCUCACUGGACAUCACGUGCCCCAAGAAAGCCACUAAAUUGAUCCAAAACUCACACUUGGAGAACUUUUCAUACAACUUCUCCUCCCUCAACCUCUGCAAUACAACUCGCAAAUGAUUUGUGCUCCUCCUGACUAUGCGAGUACACUAGAAUAUCAUCAAUGAAUACGAUAAUGAACGAAUCCAGAUAAGGCCGAAGUACAUUGUUCAUCAAAUGCAUGAAUGUUGCUGGGGCAUUGGUCAGGCCAAAAGACAUAAGAAGAAAAUCAUAAUGCCCAUAUCUAGUCCUGAAAGUAAUGUUAAGAAUAUCCAAAUCUUUGAUCUUCAACUGGUGAUAACCCGAAUGGAGAUCAAUCUUGGAGAACACCCUCGCUCCCCGAAGCUGGUCAAAUAAAUCAUCAAUACGAGGCAAGAGAGACUUGUUCUUCACUGUUACUUUGUUCAAUUAUCUGUAGUUAAUGCACAUUCUCAUUGUGCCAUCCUUCUUAUUCACAAACAGAACCGAUGCACCCCACGAUGAUACACUAGGACGAACGAACCCCUUAUCUAGGAGCUACUGAAGUUGCUCCUUCAAUUCUUUCAAUUUCGUUGGUUCCAUGCGAUAUGGUGAAACGAAAAUGGGUUGAGUGCCGGGUACCAAAUCAGUAUCAAAAUCAAUAUCCUUGUCCGGUGGCAUGCCUGGCAGGUCUGCAGGAAAUACAUUAUGAGACUCCCUCACAACUGAAACACAAUCAAUACUAGGAUCCUCAGCUCCGACAUUCUGCAUGAAGCUAAAUAUGACACACAACCCUUCUAAACCAUACAGUGGGCCUUUAGAAAAGAAAUCACUUUACUAGGAACAUAAUCAGUCACACCAUGCCACUCGAUCCUCGGUACACCCAGCAUAGCCAAAGUGAUUGUAUUAGCAUGACAGUCUAGAAUAGCAUGACACGGAUAUAGACAAUCCAUGCCCAGAACAAUAUCAAAAUACACCGUGCUCAAUAGCAAUAAAUCAACUCGGGUGUCCAGACAACCGAUAGUCACAACACAAGACUGGCACACAUAAUCUACAAUAAUAGUAUCACCACCAGGGUGGAUACAUAAAUAGGUAAAGCAAGACACCCUCGGGACGUACCCAAAUGAUGAGAAAAAUAUUAGGAUACAUAAGAAUAGGUGGAAACGGGAUCAAAUAAGACAGAGGCAUCUCUAUGGCAGACUAAAAUAAUACUUGUAAUAACAUCAUCUGAUGUAAUGACAUCUGUCCUACCUAGGAUAGCAUAAAAUUGAGCCUGGACAACGCCUGAUCGAACUCCACCCCUAGGAUGACCCUGGCUGCCUGACCUCCACCCCUAGCUGACUGAGCAGGUACUGAAGAACCUGGAGCAAAAGACGAGGGCUGACCCCUUUGUUGUGAUGAACUGGCAGCACAACGAGGACACCACCUCCACAUAUGUCCAAACUCUCCACACUAAUAACAACUCCCAGAUGCUGAAGAAUGGGACUGAAGGGAACCCUUCGCACCGAAGUGAGUAGGUGAUGCCCUCAGCACGGAAGAGCCCUAAACAGAGGGGGUGCGCGAUGAACUCUGAGCUGGAAGGGCACUGAGUGAAGGCUGACCCUGCUGAAAACCAUGAUGAUCACGGCCUGAAGAUGCCCCACGAUGCUCGGGAUAGGCCAAUUGAGCGGGCCUGAAGGAACGACCUCUACCGUGCUAGAACUAGCCCCUAGAUAGAGAACCACUGAAACUUCCAUAACCUCGAGGCCUUUUGGCCUCCCUCUCCUCUCUAUCCUGACGGCGAGCCAUCUCGAUCUAAUGGAAAAUAUCAACCAUCUCCUCAAAUGAAAUACCCAAAACUCUCUCUAGUCAUCAGAAUACGGAGAUGAUAGUUAAGACCAUCCACAAACCUCUUGAUCCUCUCAUGAUCUGUCGGGACCAUCCGUGCAGCAUGAUGAGCCAACUCAUAAUACCUAGCCUCAUACUGGGACACGGUCAUAUAUCCAUGAAUCAACCACUCAAACUGUCUACGGAGCUCCUCCCUGCCGGACUGCGGUAGAUACUUCUCCAACAAGAGAGUGGAGAACUCUUGCCAAGUCAAAGGCGCUGCACCUGCCGGCCUAUGCCUCUCAUAUGCCUCCCACCAAGUGAAUACAGCCCCACUGAACUGUAAGGUGGUAAAUGAUACACCGCUUGACUCCAAAAUCCUUAUUUUCAAGACGACGUUGAUCAUCUUCUGGCAUAGCUGGAGCCACAAAGUCCUGAACUGGCGCAACCGGCUGAGCUGCAGGUGCUCCCGGUGUCUAAAAUCCUUGCACUACCUGCUCUGGUGUGCGAGAAGUGGGGCUCUGGUUGCCUCCCCCGGCCUGUGAAGUCGUUGUUGUGGUAGUGGAUAAACUUCCUGAACUAGGCCAGUGUAGACUGAUAGGAACUGAGCUAGGGCUUCCUGAAGACCCGGAAUCACGUUGGGCAUUGCUGGUGUCUAAACAGGUGCUGCUGGAGUAUCUACAGUUGGAGCCUGAUCCUGAGCAGAGGUAGCUUGUUGGUCAAAAGGUGCUACCUUCGCGGCUCUGCCUCUACCAUGACCGCAUCCACGACCUCUGGUAGCCUCAGUGGAUAGUACUGGUGGUCAUCCGCCGCAUCCGAUAGCACGAGUCCUCGUCCUAUGCGAGAGAAUAGAAUAUAGAAUUUUAGUACUCGGAUCAACAAAAUCGCACGAUAAGAAUUUCAAGAAUGUGAGGUUUUUCCUAAAGGUUCGACAACCUACAAGGGAUAAAUAGAGGCAUUUCUGUACAGAUCCGUGAGACUCUACUAAACCUGCUCAUCACUCGUGAGACCUAUGUGACCUAGGCUCUGAUACUAACUUGUCACGACCCAAUUCCAGAACCCGAUCAUGAUGGCACCUCUAGUGAAGAUAAGACCAGUCAACAGAAUAACAACACCCCUUUUAAGAGUUAAUUAGCAUAAAUAAGUCUAAAAUAUCAAUAACAUAAUCAUAAGUGCGGAAAAAAAGUGAUAAAAUAGGGGAAACCAUUCCAACACAGCCCAAAUUAGGGUGUCACAAGUCAUGAGCUACUACGGAGUCUACUACAAGUCUACAAAUGUCUGGAACUUGAUACAAAGGUCUGAAGAUAACAUAAGUAACAGAAGACAAGAGAGAAACGUGCUGCGAACGUCAGCAACUACGUCGUCACUCCUAGUCCGCCUGGUCUGGAAGGAAUCAGCGCUCAGGAGCGAACUCUACUAUGCAUGUAUCUGCACACACGGUGCAUGGAUUAAUGUGAGUAUUUCGACCCAGUGAGUAAUAAUUAUAAAUAAUGACUGAAAGCUCGAAAUCACAUAAAGGCACAACGAAAUGCUAUAUAAAAGUAGUUAAAUAAGUAAGUAGUAAGGCAGUGAAGUAUCAAAUAAUUCUCUUUAAAACCAGUAAAACAGAUAAUUUAAUAAAUGAAAUAUAGAUAGAAAUCUGCCCCUCGGGCUCAGCUCUCUCAAAACAGUAUCGGAUCCUCGGGCUCAGUAUCAGUCACUCAUCAUAAUAUCAUCCCCCCGGACUCACUCUCAUAUCACAUGGCUAACCGCGCUCACUGUGGGUGUGCAGGCUCCGAAGAGGCCCCUUACGGCCCAAGCGCUAUAUUAACACAAAGCCUGAAAGCCUUCUCAUAUCAACAUAAGGCCUGAAAGCCUUCUCACAUCACUCACAAGGCCUGAAAGCCUUCUCACAUCACUCAUAAGGCCUGAAAGCCAUCUCAUAUCACUCAACAUAUCCUCACAUUUGAAAUAUCAUUUAAGUCUCAAAAUCAAGUAAAAGUGGCUGAGUUUGUAAACCAGUAUAAAUCAAUAUGACUGAGUUCAAAUAAUAUGUUAAAAUAGUGAGGAAACAGCGAUAAAAGUAAAGCCCAAAUAUAGCAUUAAGCCCAAGUCAUGAUGAUAACAAUUAAGUCUCAAUCAAAUACACGGUAAAAACAUCAAUCAGGAUGGACGAAGUCACAAUCCCCAGUAGUGAACGAUCCCCCACCCGUCAUUUAGCGCGUGUCUCACCUCAAUAUAGCACUACUGUGUACAAUCCUGGGUUCAAACCCUCAAGAUAUUAUUUACAAUCAUUACUCACCUCAAGUCGGCCAGAACUCUAGCUCGCUAUGCCCUUGCCUCUCGAAUCAGCCUCCUCGCGCAUCGAAUCCGACUAAAACCACAAAGAAUACAUCAUAAUAGGCUAAGGGAGCAAUACCUAAUCGAAAAUAAUAGAAAAAUAUCAAAAAUCUCUAAAUUAGCAGAAACUGAUCCCUGGGACCACUUCUGAAAACUCAGAAAUUUUCACAUCAACGGAUUUAUUAUCUCGCCACCAGUCUAUACAUACCAAGAACUCCCAAAUUCGAACUCAAAUGACCCAUCAAAAUCCAAUUUGAAAUUUCAAAACUCAAGCCCUAGUUCUUCCCCCUUUUACUAGAUUUUCAUGAAUUUCUAGGUUGAUUAUACAAUUAAAUCAUAUUUUUGGAUCAUAAAACUCACCUCCGAUCAAUCUCAGUCGAAACCCUCUUCAAUUCUCGUACAAAGGCUCUCAAGGAUGUUCAAAAAUAGUGGAAAUAAUACUUAGCUCGCGGAGGAAAUAUCAUUAAAAACUAUGCUGCCCAGGUCAACUUUACUUUGUGCGAACGCGAAGUCCUUUUCGCGUUCGCGAUGCUAAAAAAUUUCACUUCCAAACUUUUCCCUUCCCGAACGUAGUCCCCAACCCGCGAACGCAAAGCUUCCUUAGGCCCCACUACGCAAACGCGGACCUUAUGGCCGUGAAUGCAAAGAAUAACACAACCAGAACCCCAGGAACUCCUACGUCAAUGCGAUGAUCAAUGUCUCCACCCUCUGCGAACACAACUUCCUGAACGCGAACGCGAAGCACAUUUCACAGGGCCCCAUCUUCCUUGUACACGAAGGCGGCCCUAGGCACGCAAACGCAAAGGCCAACACCUAACUGCAAUAAUUGCUGAGUUUUUUGCACUUUUCUCCAAGUUCAAACCUCCCGAUAGCCAUCUGAAAUCACCCUGAAGCCCACGAGACCUCACAGAAAAAUGCCAACCCAACCUAAAGCAUCACCCAAACGCAUUCCAAUCAUCAAAACACAUCCAACAACACUUAAAUCAUCAAUUCUCAAUGGAUCCAAUUAUAAGUUCUUCAAAAGCUUUCGAAACUCGCAUUCGAUCAAAAACCCCACCAAAUCACCUCCGAAUAACCUGAAAUUUUGCAAACACAUCCCAAAUCACUUAACGAAGCUACUUCAACUCUCGGAAUUCCAUUUUGACCCUCGGAUCAAAAUCUCAUCUAUCAAUCGGAAAUCGCCAGAAUACUAACUUCGCCAAUUCAAGCCUAAUUCUGCACCGGACCUCCAAAACUACUUCUCAUCAUGCUCCUAAGUCACAAAUCAUCCCCCCAAGCUAACUAAAUCACUGAAAAUUACAUUCGAGCCCUCUAAAUCAUAAGCCAAUCUCUGGUUGACUUUUCCAAAAUAAGCAUUCCUUAAAGAGACUAACUAUCUCAUUUCCUACCAAAACCAAUCCAAAUUGACUUGAUCACCUCAAGUACUGAUAAUGAAGCAUAGAGAAGCAUAAAAUGGGGAAACAGAGCGGUAACUCAUGAGACGACAGGUCAAGCCAUCACAAAAUAUCCAUGUAAAAAUACAUAUAUUUUCUUAAAUUUUAAUUUUGCUAAUCAUGUAUGAAAAGUACAAAUUUUCGUACGCUUAAUUCUUAAAAUGAUUAAAAAAUGUCUUUUUUUUUUAGAAAAUAAUUUUUAUCUUUACAGUAAAUAAAAUCUCAUAAACUAUCUUAUAUUACGUGUAUAAUUUACCAUAUUUGAAAAUCGCAAUAAUGGUAUCUCUCAAAAAUUAUACUUAUAAAACUUUUACUAAAAGGCUUUGUUUUAAAUAAAAUACCAUGUUAACAAAAUAUCUAACAGUAUCAAGGUUGUGAACUUACAAGGUCUCAUAAUAAUAAUGUCGUAAACCCUCUAUAAUUCUCCUAAUAAUCAUAAUCCCUUCGAACUCAUGUGGAUUUACUACGGAAAAUUCUAAUGCUAAGGUUCGGGAUGUAACACGUUGAUAGUCCAGAGUUUGUUUGUGAGGCCUUGGGAAAAGUUCAGCUUAUUAGAGAAAGACUUAAAGCGGCUCAAAGACGUCAAAAGUCUUAUUCUAACAAGAGGCAUCUUGAAAUAGAGUUCAUGGGUGGUGAUAAGGUGUUUUUGAAAUUUUCACCAAUGAAAGGAGUUAUGAUGUUUGGUAAGAAAGGGAAACUUAGUCCUAGAUUUAUCGGACCUUAUAAAAUUCUAGCAAAGAAAGGAACAUGGCUUAUAAGCUAGCGCUACCCAUUGAGUUGUUCUCUGUUCAUCAUGUCUUUCAUGUGUUUAUGGUUAGAAAGUACAUUCAUAAUGAGUCCAAUAUAAUAUCUAUCAAUACCACAGAAAUUAAAGAAGGUUUGGCUUAUGAAGAAGUACCUAUAGAAAUUCUCGAUAGACAAGUAAGAAAUUGAGAACAAAAGAUACAGCAUCGGUAAAAGUCUUGUGGAGUAAUCAUGAUUCAAAAGAAGCUAUGUGGGAAAUCGAGGAAGAUAUGAGGAAGAAGUAUCCUUAUUUAUUUUAGUAACAAGGUAUGUGAACCUAGGUUUGGCUUGAUAUUUAUAUUUCAUUUAUUAAAUACAAGUUAACAAGUGUUUAUGGCCUUCCUAGAUUAUAUUUAGUUGUUAUAGUAAUUUAGUUUGCGCCAGAGUAUAUUUAAUUCAUUAAAGUUAUUUACUUUCGCUAAAGUGUUGUGCUUUAGAUAACUGUAAGUUAUGGUGGUACCUCUAUACCGGAGUGUGAGUAAUUAAUUUAUGAGCUGUGUAUGGUACCUAUGAAUGGCCUCUUAUGGUAUAUUUGGUUGUUGUUGGCGUAGUUGUAGUAUUUGUGACAGGGAUAUUUUUUUGUAUAGUCCAAUUUACAAGGAAAACUCGACCGAAAUUUUUGAAAAUUUAGGGAGAGAGCCAAAAUUUUGAGUCCUUUGGAAAAUCGAGUAGUGCUAAGAAAACUUAAGAGGUUCAAGGACCUAAGUUAAGAUUAUUAGCUUAAGAAUAAGGUCCUAACAACAUUCGAGGACGAAUGUUUUUAAGGAGGGAAGAUUGUAAUAUUCCUCAAAUUAAUAAAAGUUUCAAGAUACACUAAUUAUAGAAUUAAAUUAUUAUUAUUAUUAUAAUUUUUCUUGCUUGUAGUGAAUAUAUAUAAACACUCCUCAAAUUAAUAAAAGUUUCAAGAUACACUAAUUAUAGAAUUAAAUUAUUAUUAUUAUUUUUCUUGCCCAUAUAUAUAUAUAUAUAUAUAUAUAUAUAUAUAUAUAUAUAUAUAGACACACACAUAUACAUAUACAUGUACACACACUUAAACUAUUUGAUAUACAAUUAGUAAAAUAUUAAUAAUUUUAAUAUUAUUAAUUAUUAAAAGUGAGUAUCAUUAAUUAUUAGUUAAGUCAGAAAAAAGAGAGGGGGAAAACAAAUAAAAUAAUAAAACAAAACAACACAAAAGGCUUAAAGCCUUAUAAUGAGAAUGACGUACUUCUCAUUCAGAUAGGCAAAAUGGCAGAAGUCUAUUUCGAACAAAUAAAGCAAGAAAAAAGAGGCGGAAACACAGGAACACAGACGCACGGAUAGGAACAGAGGCAGCCAGAAAUUGCUCGAAAAAUUCUCGGGUUCUUUAUAGCUCACUUUUUCUUGAACUCAGGUAUAUUAAAUUUUCUAUUUUCAAUUACCCUACAGUAGUAAUAGGUAAGAAUUGAGUAGUUAAUUUCCUUCUUUCUCUGUAUCAACAGUAAAUCCCAUGUUUUGGUGAGCAGAUAGAAAUUUGAAAGUUUUGAGAAGUUUGACCGGAAGUGGACUUUAUGAUAUUGGGGUCAGAAUCCGAUUUUGAAAGUUGGAGUAGGUCCGUAAUAUUGAAUAAGACCUAUGCGCAAAAUUUGAGGUCACGGACGUGAUUUGGUAGGUUUAAAAUUGGAUAUAGAACAGUAGAAGUUUGAAAUUUCGACGUUCAUAAAGCUUGAAUCGGAGUGUGAUUCAUGGUUUUAGCAUUGUUUGAUAUGAUUUGAGGCCUCGAACAAGUCUGUAAUGUAUUUGGGGAUUGGUUGGUAGGUUUGGUUGAGGUUCUGGGGGCCUCUGGCGGAUUCCAGAUGGCUAAACGAUCGAAUUUGGAAUUUGAAAAAAGGUUGGAGCUGCUGCUUCCAGUAUUUCCUCUUCUACGGAUUUGGGACUGCAAAAGAGGCCCCGUAGAAGCAGUUGUAGGUGAAGCAGCCCAGGACCGCAAAAGAGGCCCUAGAUCCGCAGAAGCGUGGGCCGUUCAUAGAAGCGAAAACAGGGAUGGAGCCCACUGUCCACAGAAGCAGCAUUUUGUCCGCAAAAGCGGAAAUAUUUUCGCAGAAGAGGAAAUUGCUGAGGCAGUGAGGGUUUCUUAAAAAAUCGGAUUAUGGCUAUUUCCUCUCAUAUUUUUCUUGGCUUGGGCGAUUCUUGGAGGGGUUUCAAGAGAGGAUAUUCGUCAUUACCGAUAAGGAAAGCUAUCCCCACCUAUUUUGAGUUAAAUACAUCAAUUAUGUAUGGAUUUGAGCAUAUAAAUUAUAGAAAAACUUGGGGUUUCAGGGAAGACCUAGAAAAUUAGUAUUCUUGAAUUUUGACCACGAUUUUGAGUAUGGAAUUAAGAUAAAAUCAUAUAUUUGAUUUCGUGAGUUUAUGGGUAGCGUUUAUCUUCGAAAAAAUUCGGAAUCCGGGCACGUGGGCCUGAGGGAAUUUUUGUCAACUUUUCGAUCGGGGUUAGGAAUUGUAAUAAAUUGGAUUAUAACGAGUACCUCAUCAUAUAUUAAUGGAUUUGUAUAAUCAUUGGCUAGUUUUGGAGCAUUGUACGUUAGUUCAAGUCUUCAGAGGAAUGUAGAAUGUCGGUUAUGGAUCUUCGGAGCGAGGUGAGUCUCCUUUCAAAUCUUGUAAGAGGAAAUUAUCCCCAUAGGUGAGUUAAUUGGUUAUGUUCUCCAAAUUGUGGGUUGUACGUACGCACGAGGUGACGAGAGUUCGUGCAUAGCUACUAUUAUGCUAUUAUCCGGGUAGUAUAGGACCCAAAAGCAUGCUAUACUUGGAAUAUCUGUAAUCCUAUGGACAUUUGAAUUUCUUAUAUUAAAGUGAAUUAGUGAAUGACUUUCUUAAAGGAUUAAACUUCAUUUUCUUAAAUUGUUAAAAGAGGAUUAGAUUUCAUUUGAAUAAUUAUUCCCCGAUAAAUUCUUAAUUUGCUAUUUGAGCAUUUAUUUUAUGUUUACCUGCAUCGUAUGUGUGAUUCGCGAGUAAGGUGAUUGUUUAUUUAAUUUUUACCGCGUCGCACGUGAUUCGCGAACGAGGUAAUAGAUGCAUCUAUGGCUCGGGCUGUUCGAUCCUCGGCAGUGCACAGUUUACAUUUCUAUUAGAGCGGGCCGUCGACUUCGGCAUGAUAUGUGCAUGUUUAUAAUGCUUACUUGAAACACCUGAUGUUGAUAUUUCCUUUUUGCCUGACAUAAAUUGUUAAAGAUAAAUGAAAAAAAGUUUUUAAAAUCCUUUUUUAAUUGUUAAAGGUGUUUACCUGUUUUAUAGUUUUGUGAGUUAGAGCCUGCUAUAUAAAAUAUAUGAUUUUCUCAUAUUUUAGUAUAUUAUUAUUGGACCAUUAGUAAUUAUCAAAGUUGACCAUCUCAUCCCUAUUUCUUCGAGAUUAGACGAGAUACGCAUUGGGUACACGUUGUUUUCAUACUCAUACUAUACUUCUGUGCAUUUUUGUUGCAUAGGUUUAUUUUGUGGCAUGUGGCUUAGUAACAUAGCAGCAUGGAUGACAUAGAUACUAGGUGACCUAUAUUUCCUCGAGGCGAUUCUGCGGCUAGUAUAGUCUCUCUCUGGAUUUCCUUUAUUUUCUGUCCAAUUGUAUUUCAGUCAAUUAUUGUACUUAUUGGUUUCUCUAAGAAAAUGCUCAUGUACUUAUGACACCUAGUUCUGGGAUGUAUUUAGGUUUAUUCGAAAUUUUAAAGGUUGUACACUAAGUACUCUUUUAAUCGUAUAAAAGAUAUGUUUUAAAAUUAUUAAAACGAGAAUUUAAUUAAGUGUUUCAGUUGUCUUGCCUGACAGCAAUGUCCGGUGCUACCACGACCCUCAGUUGAUUUUGGGUCAUGACAAUAUGGUAUCAGAGCACUAGGUUCCCAUUGGUCUCACGAGUCAUGAGCAAGUCUAGUAGAUUCUUGCGGAUCGGUACCGAGAUGUGUGUACUUAUCAUCGGGAUGCUACAUGGCUAUUAGGAGUACUUCCCUUCUUGAUACCCUUAUCUUGCGGUUCGAUUCCUUUGAGGCUUAUACAUUUGAUUCCUUCCUACUCAACCUUACGCGCGAGCGCUUGUUAUAAAUCGAGAAUUAAAGAAAUUUAAUGGCACUACAAAUGUGGCGCGGGAUGAUUCUCCAAGUAUAGUUGAUUGGACUAUUAUAGUCGCCUUAUUGAAAGAUAUUCUAUUGUUUCAGCUUAGUAAUAGAACUUCUAAGAGCCUUGAGGCUAGGCACAAGUUUCCAUGAUAUUUAUGAUCGAUCGUUUCGCAGUAUUAUAUGAUGGUAGGAUGUUUACCUAUGUGUCCAGGUAGUGAAUAACUUGCAUGAAGGUUUACUCAGUUCAUGAUCUAGAGAUUCGGUGUUUUAUUCCCGGCUGGAAAAAGGCAAUCAGGCUGAGAAUGUCCAUGUUUGAGAUGAUGAGGUGAUGGGGCUUGGUGUUUUCAAGCGUGGUGGAGUCUUCAUCGUCGGCGUAGUAUCGUCAUCCUCGAUUGAACGUGUUAAGGGGACGGUGUGCUAGUCUUCUUCAAAUUUUCCUUUGGAGAAGGAUAUUGCAGGUCAGUAAUAAAGAAGCGACAGUCGAAGAUCGCGGGAUGCGGUGGUUCAGGAUAGAAUCGACGCCCUGUUGUUGAUGGCUCGAGAAAGAUGAACUUCGGAAAGGUUUAAAGUAGUAGCAACUUGUGGGUUCAAGUUCUAUGAGAGUAGAUUUUAUCUAAGGCAACAAUUAAGUAGCAAAGUAUAAGAAAAGACAUGUGGAAAGUGUCAGGCGGUGUUUAAAAAAUUCUAGAAGGCCAAGUAUAAGAAGAGCAGGUCGAGUAGUUGAUUAAAGAAGAGAGUUUUCCCAAGGUGGGAGAGUGGCGGAGUUGCAUAUGGGCUUAGUGGUAGGAGAACUACGCGCUUUAAGGAGAGUUUGAAAUGAUGUGGGAAUUUCAGAGGUUUGUGAUUUGAGGCCUACAUAUGUAAAUUGAAGUAUGGGCCAUUAUGCGGCAGGAGAUUUGGUGUAAUGGAGAUGAGCUGCUUGAAAUGAAGAAGGAUGCAACAUAACUCUAAAUUGGGAGUUGCCGCACAUUUAAUUGAUGUCCAUGAGGAGUGAAUGGACUGGUUCAGCCGGAGAGUGAGCGCGGACCUAGGAUGGGUUAGUGGAGUCAUAAGUGAUGGUGCCCAUGCGGCAGUGUUGGAAGACGUUGGGAAGUGAUUUCUACAGGUAGGUCUUGUCAUCCCCGGUGAGCAGGUUAGCGGUCGCGUGGUUAGCAAAGCUUCUACAAAAAAUUUUAACGGCUGUUUAGAAAAAAGACCGGAUGAGCAAAUGUGGUUGAUGGUCCAGAGUUCAAAGGGGAUUUUGCAUAAAGAUUCCAAAGAUUUAGACGGUUGAUUGCGUAAGGAUAUGUCAACAAGAGAUGAAGAACUCUAGUGAGUUCCAGAUUUGCAUAAUGAUGGCUUCAAGCUAAGUGGGAGAGCCCCACCACUUAUAAUUUGGGUUGCAUGUUUAGGUACUUGCGAGGUUUCCUACUAUAAGUAUAUUGAGGGGUUUUCUCAGCUACGGGGAAAAUACCAUAAGUGAUAAUUUGAGCAAAGGAAUUGUUGAAUGCAUGCUAUGGUUGGCCUUAUUGGCUCAUGUUCGAACUUGAGGAAAGAUUCAGGAUUUAUGCCUUGUAUAGAGGCAGGCUUCAAAGAGGGUGAUUUCGCUGGGUGCUUCAUCAGAGAGUACUCAUGUGUAUAAUAUUUAUGGAGUUGAUAAUAUUCGGAACCAGGUCGGAGCGGGUGGCUCUCAGUAAAGGUCCAAGUGAAUUCAAGAGGUAAAGAUGUGGUGCCUAAUAAUGUCAAGCUUAUAGGUUCAAUUAAGAAUCAAGCCUUGAAGAAUCUUAUAAGAAAAGGCACCGAAUGUUCUGUGAUGUUUUGACUUGCGGUGUAGUAUUUGGGAGGUAUGAAAUUGUCCAUGGGAUUUGAGACAGCAUGGCCUCGCGAUUCAAGGUCACACUUUGUUCGAACUUGAGGAAGGAUUCAAGAUUUAUGACUUGUAUAGAGGCAGGCUUUGAAGAGAGUAUUCCACUGGGUGCUUCGUCGAGAGAGUAUUCAUGUGCUAUAAUAUUUAUGGAGUUGAUUCUAUUCGGAACCAUGUCAGAGUGGGUGGCUCUCAGUAACGGUCCAAGUGAAUUCAAGAGGUAAAGGUGUGGUGCCUAAUUAUGUCGAGCUUAUAGGUUCAAUUAAGAGUAAAUCCUUGAAGCAGCUUAUGAGAAAAGGCACAAAAUAUUCCGUGAGGUAUUGGUUGGCGAUGUAGCAAUUGGGAGGUGUGAAAUGGUUCGUAGGAUUUGAGACAGCAUUGUCUCAUGAUUCACGUUACUCGGGGUGAGUGUGGUAGGAGUAUGUUAUGUGUUGAAUGAAGUUAGUAUUAUUUCUAAGGCAAUCAAAGACAAACUUGGAAGGUAAUAGAUUUAUUAGCCAUGGUUGACUUGGCAUAUUAGUGGUAAGGAUCAGUUCAUCAGCAUGAUCAAGUUAUGCAGGUGAUUUGUGACGAUACGUGUGAGGCUCGUCGGCCGCCGUAAUUGAUGUUAUUCAGAAGCAUCCUUCUGUUAUGCCAUGUUAUGUGUAGGAAGAUCCCGGAAGGGCUAUGGUGGCUUGGACCACUACUUAGAGAUUUCCAUAGCCUACGGUUAUGAGAAUUUACCUGUAUGUUGCUAUGUUUCUCUUGAGGUGAGUUAAGUGAGAAGUUAUAUAUAAUGAAGUGGUACCCUAUUAGUUAUUCCGGGGUUAUGAUGAAAUCAUGUUCUAUAGUAUAUUGGCAUGUUGGGUGCAAUGAGUGGUAUGAAAAUUCGAAGUGAGGACCAAGGUUGAUGUUUGGUACUGGUAAGGAUGUCGCGAGCUCGGAUGAGCAAGAAAAAGGUUGAAUAUAUAAAGUAAAUUGGUAUUGUCUUCAGCAUUGUCAGAGAAUGGUGUUUUGUGAAUAAGGCUUUGCAUCCUGGUUAAGGAUUCUCAAUCGCUUUUCAGCAUUAGUGUGGCCUGUGGUUUAGAUGUGCGGACCCGUUAUUCAUUUCGGAAGAUUGUGGGAACGUGUCCCACGGGAAGAUUGUAUAAGUGUGAAAUGUAGUCACUUGAUUGAUUAAAGAUUUAAACCAAGUAUGAGAAUUGUGGUAAUAUCAUUAAUUUGAGAAUUUAUGCUUGGCAGGCACUUUAUUUAUUGUGUUAUGGACGGAGGAGGUUUACUCCAGUUAAGAUGGUUGUUCUUAUGUGUUAUGAGAAUAAGGGACUUACUAUGGACCUUUGAAAGGUUAUUAGCCUAGUUGGUGCAAUCAUAAAUCGGAUUGAGAUCAGUGGAUUGAUUUAAAUGUGAACAGGGCUUUAUAUCAGGCCAGUUGUAUUCGUUUCAGCGAGCGUUCCUUAUGGAAGAACAGUUAGGGUGUUAUUUUGUCGUCAGCUAUUCCAGGUAAUGAUGUAUUGCGCCAUAUGAGAUGUGAGAUGGCUUGGUAAAUCUCUUACGUGUUGAGGUUCCGCGUGGCGAUGAUGUCAUGUGAGUAGGAUGACUCUCGAGAUUUAGAUCUUGUAUUGAACCUCAGUUGUGCUUGAGUUUUGUAGCCUAUAGCGCUGUGUUUCCUCAGGGAUGGUAUUAUGCACCUUGGCAUAUUUGUGAUCGAUAUUUGGUAUUUGGUUGUAAUGGGCAGAUUUAGCUAGAAGUGCAAUCUCCUUAUGUGAAGAUCUAUAUGUGGAUCGGGUGGCACGCCGCCAUGGGUACGUUAGUUGGAUCGAGUUGCGCGCCGUAACAUUGUGAUGUUGAGUAUAGUUUUCUAUAAGCUAUUUUUUGUUUCUAGCUUCCUAUCUUCUAAGGAAAGUAUGUAUUAGUGCGGGAGUUAGGUAAUUCCUUCCAGAGUUCCAUUUCCUUUUGUAGCGCGUACGAAUUGGUGGCCUAUUGGCACUUUGUGUAAUCAUAUGAGAUUUUUGAUUGCAUUCGGGGUGGCUUAUUGCCUGAGCAGUUCGUACUGGGCGAGACGGGAUUAUUGGAUUUAGGAUCAGUGCGAUCAGAUUAUAUGAAGUAUAUUAAGGAGCAAAGAUCACUAUUUGAUUCAGAAUGUGUUAAUGUUUCUUGUCAGGCAUAUCGACUCUAUGAUUGCUUGACUCGACAUUUGAUUAUGAAUUUCUGCACAUCUUCUCCGUCGUGGCGGUAUUGUAAGAGUUAGAGUAAGACCUGUGUAUGUCAUGGGGUACAAUGGGAGCAUCAGAUUCGUGAAUCCCGACUAAGUUGAUCAGAAAUUGUUAUUGUCGUCCGGUUAGUAAAGUGAUACAAGGCGUGAAUUCAACAAAUUAUGCAGUCAUGUUUGGAUACAACAUGUAGUGAUUGAUAUGGUGAUCGUAUGUUUGAAAAAGGCUUAGCAGAGAAUUCCGGAUGUUGGAAUUGGGCUCUAAGGCCUAUUUUCUUGAAUAAAAGGGGAAUAUCUUCAGAAUUUAUCGAGAUGAUGUGUUCAACAGAGUUGUGGUAGCUUAGGAAGGUGCAUCAGAACUUAAACAGUGAUUUCAGGCUACAUCGGUGUCACACCUCCUUUUUCGCUACACGCGCAAGGGGCGUAAAGGAUUUUUUCCAAUUAAAGGACAAUCGGAACAGGAUUUGGUUAUUAAAAUUCAGAAUCGCCACUUGGGAAAUUAAUGGUGUCCCAAGUCACCGGUUUAAUCCCGAACCGAGGAAAACAUUAACUCUGUAUUACAAUCUGCGAACCAAAAAUCCGGAUAAAGAAUUUUGUUAACCCGGAAGAAGGCGUUAGGCAUUCCCGGGUUUCGUGGUUCUAGCGCGGUCGCUCGACUGUUGUAUUUGAUUUUAUCUGAUUUCAAAAGAUGUUAGCUUAUGUGCCUUUUAUUCGUAAACCGCUUUUUAUCAUUGUUUAUUUUAAAAGAAUUGCGACGUCGUGAAAACGUAUUUCGAACCACGUCGCAAUCAAUGCACCCGUAGUUGUCAACACAUUUCGACUUUGUCGAGAUUUGGAUUCGGGUCGCAUCAAUGCGCACCCAAGUUUAAGGAAGUAAUUUAAUUAAAAUGCGCCUAAAGAUUCUAACGUAUUAUUAUUUGGGGAAGCCCAUGAAAUUCACUAAAUGACCCUCCCAAAUUCUAAGUAUCUUGAUAACCAAUUAUUGAGGGCCCUGUAAUUUUGUAGUUUGAUUCGGCGAGGCUCAUCUAAUUUUAUUUAAAGGGUAAGCCUAAAGUGACUAUAAUUUUUCUAUUUAUUCCGUCUCUAAAAUAAAAAUAGAAAAGUCCUAACUAAUUAUCAUGGCUUAAGUACUACAAUAUUUGGGUCUAUAUACUCAUGUGACUAAUACUGCCAAUGAAUUAGACUAAUUAUUAUGCUUUAAGAUACAUAAAAUAAAAUAACAGCUAAUCUUUAACAAACACGCAAGAAAAGGAACUUUUCAUUUCAAGCUAACAAACUGUUAAAUGAAAUAAAGCCUACUUUAGUCAACCAACUUUUUUUAAAAGAAAUCAAAAGAGAAAAUAGUUACAUGGACACUAUACAACCAUGUAUCAUUACGCGGAUUGAAUAACACAGUACAGAAAUUUGAAAGUAUAAAAAUGGAAGUAAACUACUCAAAUACCAAAAGAAGAAAAACUGAGAACGGUCAUUGCAAAAACAAACUCCAUCCUAGCAGCACUAGCACAUAAGACGACUUUAAAUUCAUUCAACUAGGUAAAAUGUUCAACGCAUAUUAAUAAUGCAACAUCAAAUAAAUCUAAGAGGGAUUGUGGCAUCAGUAACAAAUACUAUAUAGAUUUCAAGCUAUUCAAAAACAAAAUGGAGGCCAACCUUAAGGAUUGAAAUUAUAUACUCAGUUGAAGGAAAUUCCAACCGCAUACAAAGCUUGAAAAUGUAUCGGCAAUCACACCGGAAAAAGUCGAACAGGACCAGCGACUCGAUACCUCAACGGCAACCUCGAGCGAGCUCAAGCGCGUACAAGAAACCUCAAGCAACCUCGAUCGGAACUCAAAUCAGAAGCUCGAACGGAUCUCACAAACGAGUUCCAAAAAAAAUGGACUCAACCUCAAACGACAACUGGAGUCAAUAAUCAACUAAAACUCACUGGUGAAAUGGUUUCUAGAGCAACAAUAGCACUUGAAAACGGAAAUUUCAGAUUCACAGUGCUUUUGGUCUAGGCUGCUUCGGCGAUGGCUGGCGUUUCCAGAGAGUUUGCCGCUGGUUUUGGUGAAGAAGAAAGGGUAUCGUUUGGAGACAAUUGGGGGGUGGGGGGGUAAGGGAUCGUUUUUGGUUUUGGCCGUUAAUCUUCGGUCUUCAUGGAGAAGACGAUCGCUUUCUCUCCUUUGUUUUUUUUUUUUUUGGGCGUUUUCUCUUCAGAUUUUUCCGUUUGUUUUGUUUUAGCUUCUUCGUUCUUUUUUGUAUUCCGUUUUUUGUAGUUUUUUUUUUCUUUUGUAAUUUUUGUGUGUAUUUUUCAUUGGUUAGAAAAUAAUUUUAUAGAGUGUAUGGAAUGAGAUGUUAUGUGGGGGAGUUUUAUUUGGGGAGAAGGUGUUAUAUGAGGAAUAUUUUUGGGGGCAGGUUUCAUAUGAGGGGGAAAUGGUUUGGGGAGGAAAUAUUUUAGGGAAGGCUCUUCCCAUUUUUUAUACUCCCAGUUUCUUUUAUCUUCCUCUUUUUUGUAUUUUAUUUAUUUAUUUUGUAUUUAUUUUUUAAUUUUGUUAAAUGCUACAUUAAAAACCAAAACUCAAAUUGACUCUAAAAUUAUACUUUCAAAUUUUCAGUUACACAAAUUCCCUAUUUAAAUGCAAACUAAGACAAAUUAAAACUAAAAAUGCAAAAAGAAUCAUUUUUGUUAUUUUUCUUUUCCUAAAAGUUACUCAACUACUAAUUAAUGCUAAAAUAUAAAAUUAAAUUCUAAAUUGAAAUGCCAAGUAUUUUUGGUAUUUAUUAUUUUGAUUUUAAAAUAUUAAAAUGCGACUAAAUAAAGAAAAAUUCCUAAAGCAAAUCAAUAAAAAUUAUUUGAUCUAUUUUUAGGAGUUAUCUACAUGUAGGGCAAAAAUCACAUGCUUACAAACGGUGUAAUUCUCAGCACGUUCGAGGACGAACGUAUGUUUAAGUGGGAGAGAAUGUAACGAACCGACUGAUUGUUUUGAGCCCGAGCGCGUCUUUCAGCAGUUUGAGGCCAUCCGAAGCUUCAUUUCAGGUAUUAUGACUCGCACACGUUGUCGAAAUUGAAUUUUGGAAAGGUUAGAGUUGAUUUGGAAAGAGAAUUCUCAUUUCGAAAGCAUAAAGUUGAAGGAAUGAACUAGGAUUGGAAUUUUGAGUAAAUGACCUCGGAAUCGGGAACUGAAGGUUCCAGCAGGUUCAUAUGACCAUUUCGGACUGGAGCGUAUGCCAGGAUAGGGUUUUGGAUGACCGUGUGCGUUUUGACGUCUAUUGUGGAAGUUAGCUUUUUGGAAGAUAUUUUAUAAAUUUGGCUUGAAGUGCAUUUCAGUGUUAUCGAUGUCCAUUUGGUAUUCCAAGAUUGAGAGUAGCUCCGUAUGGUGAUUCUGGAGUUGAGAGCGCGAUCGGAAGAGAAUUCGGAGGUCCGUAAGUCAUUUUGGAGACAUUUGGCUAAAGAUAGAAAUUUGAAGGUUUUGAGAAGUUUGACCAGAAGUAAACUUUUUGAUAUCGGAGUUGGAAUCCGAUUCUGAAAGUUGGAGUAGGCUCGUAAUGUCGAAUAAGACUUUUGUGCAAAAUUUGAGGUCAAUCUGACGUGAUUUGAUAGGUUAAAAGUUUGAAAUUUCGAAGAUCAUAAAGCUUGAAUCGGGUUGUAAUUCAUGGUUUUAGCGUUGUUUGAUAUGAUUUGAGGCCUCGAACAGGUCUGAAAUAUGUUUUGGGAUUGGUUGGUAGGUUUAGUUGAGGUCCCGGAGGCCUCGGGUGGAUUCUGGAUGGACGGAUCGAAUUCGGAGUUUGAAGAAGGGCUGGAGUUGUUGCUACUGGUAUUUCCACUUUUGCGGAUUUGGGACCGCUUCUGCGGUCCUGUAGAAGCGAAGAAGAAGCUGCAGAAGCGCUUGGAGGUGAAACAACCCAGGACCACAGAAGCAGCCCUAGAUCCGCAAAAGCAAAACCGCAGAAGAGGUGAGCCGUCUGCAGAAGCGAAAAUUGGGCUGGAGACCAUUGUCCGCAGAAGCGGCAUUUUGUCCGCAAAAGCAGGACUGCAGAAGCGGAAAUAUUUUCGCAGAAGAGGAAAUUGCUGAGGCAGUGAGGGUGUUUUAUAAAAUCGGAUUUUGGCUAUUUCUUCUCAUAUUGUUUUUGGCUUGGGCGAUUCUUGGAGGGGUUUCAAGAGAGGAUCUAUUGAUAAGGUAAGUUAUCCUCGCCUAUUUUGAGUUAAAUACAUCAAUUAUGUACGGAUUUGAGCAUGAAUAUGUUAGAAAAACUUGGGGUUUGAGGGAAGACCUAGGAAAUUAGUACUCUUGAAUUUUGACCACGAUUUUGAGAUGGAAUUAAGAUAAAAUCAUAUAUGAGUUCAUGAGUUUAUGGGUAGAGUUAUCUUCGAAAAAUUCCGAAAUCCAGGCACAUGGGCCCGAAGGCAUUGUUGUCAAUUUUUCGACCGGGGUUAGGAAUUGCUAUAAAUUGGAUUAUAAUGAGUACCUCAGCAUAUAAAUGGAUUUGUAUAAUCAUUGGCUAGUUUUGGAGAAUUGUGUGUUGGUUCAAGUCUUUAGAGGAAUGUAGAAUGCCGAUUAUGGAUCUUUAGAGCGAGAUGAGUCUCCUUUCUAACCUUGUAAGAAGGAAUUGUCCCCAUAUGUGAUUUAAUUGGUUAUGUGCUCCUAAUUGUGAGGGCUGUGUACACAUGUGGUGACGAGAGUCCAUGCGUAGUUAUUAUUAUGUUAGUGUCCGGGUAGUCUAGGACUCAAAAAUAUGUUAUACUUGGAAUAUCUGUAAUCCUAUGGACAUUUGAAUUUCUUAAAUUAAAUUGAAUUAGUGAAUGAAUUUCUAAAAGGAUUAAACUUCAUUUUCUUAAAUUGUUAAAAGAGGAUUGGAUUUCAUUUGAAUAGUUAUUCCCCGAUAAAUUCUUAAUUUACUAUUUGAGCAUGUAUUUUAUGUGUACCUACAUCGCAUGUAUAAUUUACGAGCUGGGUAAUUGUUUAUUUAAGUUUUACCACAUCGCACAUAUGAUUCGCGAGCGAGGUAAUAGAUGCUUCUAUGGUUCGGGCCAUUCGACCCUUUGGCAAUGCAGAGUUUACACUUCUGUUGGAGCUGGCCGUCGACCUCAACAUGAUAUGCGCAUGUUUAUACUGCUUACUUGAAACACUUGAUGUUGAUAUUGCAUUUUUGCCUGACAUAAAUUGCUGAAGAUAAAUGAAAAGAAAUCUUGAAAAUCCUUUGUUAAUUGUUAAAAGUGAUUACCUGUUUUACAGUUUUGUGAGUUAGAGCCUGCUAUAUAAAAUCCAUGAUUUCCUCUAUCUGAUACACAUUAUUUUCAUACUCAUACUACACUUCUAUGAAUUUUUGUUGCACAAGUUUAUUGUGUGGCUUGUGGUUUAAUAGCAUAGCGGCAUGGCUGGCACAGAGACUAGGUGAGCUAUAUCUUAUCAAGGAGAUUCCACAGCUAGUAUAGUCUCUCUCUGGACUUCCUUUAUUUUCUACCCAAUUGUAUUCCGGACAGUUAUUGUACUUAUUGGUUUCUCUUAGAAAAUAAUCAUGUACUUAUGACACCGAGUUCUGGGAUGUAUUUAGGUUUAUUCGGAAUUUUAAAGGUUGUUUAAAUGUUUCAUUACUAAAUUCAGAGAAUUAUACUGAGUACUCUUUUAAUCGUAUAAAAGAGAUAUAUUAAAUUUAUUAAAACGAGAAUUCAAUUAAGUAUUUCAGUUGGCUUGCCUGACAGCGCUGUCCGGCGCCACCACGACCCUUAGUGGAUUUUGGAUCGUGAUAGUCCAGGCCUAAGGUCCUGACCAAGACGUUGACUUCCUGAAACUACUUGUGCCAAAGUCGAGAGCACACGAGUCGAGGGUCUCGUUGCUGAGAAUUUACUUAGCCAUUCCUAUAUGAGACAUGAGCGCGGAGAACCAUGAAACGAGUGACACCUCGUGGAUUGGGCCUAUUCAAUCAGGUUGGGAUCGAACUCGUGCCGAUCACAUGGUGAUUGCAGCAGAAUUAAGCCAUGAUAGUUAGACGAGAAACUUACACAAAUGUCACAAAUAAACCUCAACUUACCAACCUCCACCCAUUAAUCAUAGGCUUACCCAAACUAGCCAACAAAAAUUAAAAAACCAAAUAAUAGAGUUCUUUCUCUCAAAUAAUCACAUGCAAAAAUGACCUUCCAUAUAUUUAAGCGUGAUUAGCAACACUAGAUACAAUAUGGAAAGGAAAUUUUAUGGAUGAGGUAGCAAACAAGGUGAUGAAAUACAAAAAAUAUAUACAAUAUUUCAAAAAUCUAAACAAAAAAGACACUUUUUCAAUGGGUAUAGUUGAAAUUCACCGAAAAUAUAUAGAUAAGUCAAUAUACAAUGUUUGAGGAAUAUUGGAGUUGAUUUGGACUGGUUUUGUAUAAAAAUUCGUAAUUAAAUCGAGUUCAAAAAAGUCUUCUGCGACACAUGUAUCAAACAUGUAUCACGCAUGUAUCUAACACACAUGUAUAUAUGGAUAUACAUGCGAUACACAAUAGAUACAAAUAGGAUACAUAUGUGAUACACAAAGAUACACAGUGUGAUCGAAUUUUCAAUUCAACCCACCUCAAAACUUCACCACAUAAUUUCAAAACUAAGAUUUAAUCUCCUUAACUUAUGCCCAAUCUAUUCUAAUAACACCCACUCAAAACAAAGCAAAAGUUUGAUAAUUAUUUUCUACAAAUAAUUAAUUGGCUAAUUUAGCUAAUAUAAGUAAUAUUUUACCCAUUGACCAACUUUUAUAAUGAGCUACCUAUAAAUGGACAUAGCUGGUAAUUUUCCCAGUUGGAACACCCAAAGUAUAAAGUGAAAUAUUUUUUUAAUAAGCAAGAUUAAAAAAAGAAUUUCUUUUAGAAUAUUCAUUAAACUGCUAUCAUGCAACUAUUUUAGAAUUAUUCUUAUAAGCUUUAUAUUUUACAUGCAUUUAGAACCUCUGCUCAUAAUGUUUAUGUUAUUAAAGUUUUUCCUCUUUUGUUGAGACUCAUUGAGUACAAUGGAUGGUAUUGACGUUCUCUUUUGGGAACCUACGUUGGUUUGUGGUACAACGUAGGAACCGAAUUUGCAGGCGAGUAGGCUACGAGUUAGGACUUCCUUCUCUUCCAGUGCUAUUGGUGAGCUCCACUUUUGUUCGUGGAUUUACAGGCGAGCAGGCUACGAGUUAGGACUUCUUUCUCUUUCAGUGAUAUUGUUGAGCUCUGCUUUUGUUCGUGGAGUAUUGCUUAGAGUCAUCUUUAUUUAGUUAUUUCUUUGUUACUUAGAGAACUGACUAGGAAAUCUCAUGUCCUGAGCAGUGCGCCAGUUUAUCAGUAGAGGCUUCAUAGACAUUGUCGUUGGGUUAAGAUUCAGAUGUUUUUGAUAACAACUUAGCUUUAGUUCAUUGGUUAUUAUUAAUAAAGUUUCGGAAGUUGAUUUAUUCAAAUAUUUAAAUUAAUCAAAAGUAUUUGGUUACAGUAUUUCCUUGUUGCAUAAAAAGUUUGGAGUUAUAAUAGAUUUGAUAAGCAGAAAUGGAUCGCUCGGUCAUGUUUAGUAAUCAAGUGCCGAUCCCGGCUUGUUCAGGAAAUGGGUCGUGACAGUUAACCCCUAAACGAGGGUGUCCUCUUUUGUAGGACUUGGUGGAAUGAAGACAGAGUUUAACAAGUUGAUGAUGUUAGGCGGGAGAUCUAUGGAUAAUGUAAAUAAGUCCCAAACUCAUGAAUUGUAGACUAAGUUACCUUGGCAUUUAGGUCAUUUCGGGACAGAGGGCCCUCAAUUAGUUCCCUAAUUGCUGGUUGGUUGGGUAUCCAAGCAUCAUUCAAAAAAUUAACCCUAUUUUCUCGAUGAACUACUCAUCCGCUUGCUUUGCUACAAAUGUUCAAUCCCCUAAGGAUGCACUGCCAUGUAGGGGAUUUGGGGUACCUAGGAUAUCUAGAGGUUCUAAUUAUCCUAUGAGUUGGUAGUUGGUUCACAUAUCAAAUUAAAACUAACAUCUCUAAUUAGGGAUGACAAACGGUCGAGGCGAGUCGGAAUGAGUAAAAAAUGUUUAAUGUAAAAAUGGUUAAAUUAUCUGGUCCGACCCAUAUUUAAUAGGGAUAGAAAAUAGGUUAAUUGACAAAUAAUAUGGAUAUCCAUAUUAUCUAUGACUUAUUGAAUAUGAUUACUUUGGGAGAAUUUCUAGUCUUCCAAAUUUUAAAAACCUACAAUUUAAGUCUUUACAAAUGUAAAAAUAAAUUCCAUUGGCUGUUCAUUUUUUAUGGAUCUUGUCACACCUUCUUGUUCCGCACCCCGAGGGGUGAAAGAGUUUUUUUCAAUUAAAGGACAAUCGAAGGGGAUUUGUUUAUUUAUUUCAAAGUCGCCACUUGGGAGAUUUAGGGUAUCCCAAGUCACCGGUUUUAAUCCACACCCCAACUCACCAGUUUUAAUCCCGAAUCGAGGAAAAUAAUUGACUCUAAAUUACAAUCUGCAUACCAGAUAUCCAGAUAAGGAAUUUUGUUAAACCGGGAGAAGGUGUUAGGCAUUUCCGAAUUCGGUGGUUCUAGCACGGUCGCUCAACUGUUAUAUUCAGCUUAUUUAUCUGAUUUUAGUAAUUAUGCACUUAGUGCAAAUUGUGAGUUGUUACCGCUUUUAUUAUUAUUAUUGUUAUUUUCGAAAAGAAUUACAACAUUGUGAAAACGUAUGUCGAACCACGUCACAACCAGUGUACACAUAGUCGUCGACACAUUUCGACUUCGUUGAGAUUUGGAUUUAGGCUUCAUAGAUGCACACCCGCAUUUAAGGAAGUAAUUUUAUUAAAGACGCUCCCUAAGCGACCAACGUAGCGUUAUUUUGGGCAAGACCGUGAAAUUUUGUUAAACGGCCCAUUCCAGAGUCUAACCUACUUUGUAAAUACGUAUGGAGGGCCCCGCAACUUGCAAUUUAUUAGGCUCGGCUCGGCUCGGCUCAUUUUAUUAUUUGAAAGGCAAACCUAUUGCAACUACGAUAUUUUUUUUACUGUAAGAGGGCCAUGAAAAAUUCAACUAAUGGCACGUCCCCGUUUCUAUAUGGUUAAAAUUAAUUAAGUGAGAGCCAUGAGUUUUCGAAUAAAUUGAUAUGGAAUCAAUAUAUUCUUUUACAUUAUCAAUUUGCAUAUUCUCUAUUUACAUAAUACUAGCCAAAAUAUAUUUACACAGUAACAAAUAUUACCAAGAAACGUUGAUCCACAAUACUAGGAGAGCAAAGAAAAUAAGCUGAAAAUAUUUCAAGUUUACAUUCCACUGCAUAUAUUUAUAUAAAAAAAACGUGAAAAAGGACUAAAAUAUGCAUGAUACACAUGUACAUCAGUGUUUACACGCAACUGCAUAUAUUUUAUAUAAAAAAACGUGAAAAAAGGGACUAAAAUAUGCAUGAUACACAUGUACAUCAGUAUAUGAAGACGUGCCUAUGCGUAUUCAAGGCAUGGAUUCAUUUUUAUUCUAGAAAGAUCAAUAAUUCUACAUGACACAUUCAUUGUUUCAAUCUAUCGGACCACAAUAUCAGAUUAGCAGCACAAAGGAAACAAAAAUAUAGAGAAAUGAGAGACUUACCUAACAAUAAAAAAUAGGUGAAUUUGACGAUCCAAACAAAAACCAACCAUAAGUUGAUAUCCAAUGAACUAGCAGUCAAAUUCAAUUCCCUUUGCACCUCAAUAGCAAAGAAAGUCAGCAAUUACACAUAUCUUGACUCCAAAAUUCGUCCAAGAAAGCAAUAACAAGUUGGACCCAGAACCGCAAACAAAACUUGGCCAAACUGGAAACCUUCGACCGAAGACUGCGAAAUCUCUAAUGGAAAUCUCGAAUGGAACUCAUAACAUGAAUGGCAACCUCAAGAGUGGUUUCAUGGAUGCACAUGCUGGUCGAUUCUGGAGGUUUUGAGACGGGGAGAGGCUGGCGAUGGAGAUUGGAGGAGAAGGAGUGGUCGUUUGGGCUUGAAGAAGAAGAGACAGCGAGCUCACUGUUGCGGGUGGUGUUCAGCUGGUUGUGACUGAUGGUUGCUGGUCGUUUGAGGGCUGUUGGGCUGCUGGACAGCGUUGGAGAAUGAGGAAGGUGACCGGUCUGCUGAGGUUGUUUGGAUGGUGACUGGAGGAGUUUGUUCAAGGGUGAGAUUGUUGUUGGUUAUGAAGAAGACGAAGAAGAACAAUCCUCUCCCCCUCUCCUCAAUGUGUAUGGUCUAUUUUAUUCAAAAUUCCUCACCUUUUUCUUUUUCAUUUGACUAAGUCCCCUUUUCUUAGUAUCCAGCUGCCUCUUUUUAGAAUCUAAGGCGUGCAAAAAAAAUAGUGUUCUGUCCCCAUGCCUGUCAUUAUUGUAGUUCCCUUUUUUUUUAAAGAAUGUUGACCAUCCGUGAAUCCCUCCCCCAAUUGUGUAAUUGUGUCUCCCCUGGUCUCGUGUUACGUAUAAGGUGUGG
rnacentral:lncRNA from 1 species